rnacentral:lncRNA from 1 species
AGAAAUCCAAGCUCUCCCAGGACUGUUCUAACGGCAGUUCUAAAAGCCUCUUUGGUGUGUUGGAGGCCAGGUAGAGGUGAAGCUUCGCAGUGCUUGGACGUAUACUCAACCAUACGGAGAAUAUCAGCCUGUAGCAGGUAAAUAAGAGCCCAGCACAGAAGAAAAGGCAGAGCUACAAGAAGACAGUGCCACAUUAUUUUCAUUGGAAUCUAUGUACGCAUCUAUGCCUGAGUUUAAAGAUGCUCAAUGACUGUAGGAAGAAGAUACUGGAUUUUCAAAAUAACAUUUGAUGAAAGCAAUUGCCAUGCAGUGAUGAGAACAGGUUUGGGAGGCUCAAGACCUGGUGUGACAUCCUGACUCCAAUUGGUGUAAGCUGCAUUGCUCUGCUCAAAUGAUUCAAACACUAUAAACUGCAGUUGCACAUUGGUAAUACCUACUUCAUUGGUAUGUAAGAUUUGAAAAUGUUCAUAAACCACCAAGCACUAUGUAAGCAUUAGUUAUUCUUAUUAUGACUUUUUUAUUCCUUCUAUAGGGAAAAGAGUGCUAGAAGUUAUAGCUAGGAAUUCUAGUUACUAUACAAUUCCAUAAACGAUAUUGUGAAAAAGCUUAAAUUCUAAGAUCAAAGAUAAUACUUAUUCAGUAGGGUUUAUAUGUAUGUUUAUAUAUAUAUAUAUAUUUUUACUCAGAGCAAAUAAUAUGGUCAGUAAAAUGGGUGACAAUUGUAAACACAAUGACCAUUAGUGUUGUAAAGUACAUGUCAGCCUAGGAUGUAAAAUAACUUUAUUGAAUAAAACCUUUCUAGCUACAUAAUAUCUAAAGGUUACUGUGUUAAUAUACACACACAAACACACACACAGAAAUAGCACUGAAAAUAAAAUAAAUGAAGAUGCUAUUAAGUUCAAAUGAUGAUGAAAUUGACCCCCAAGUCAUGGGAGUAGGUAAGCAGUAGAGAGCCAGUGGUCUUCUGAAGUCUGUAGCCCUGGGGCCUGACCCAGUCUCAGAUAGUCCCCUCAAUUCAAGAUAAAUUUAAAUGCAAUAGACUAUAAUCCAGGUCUACAUAUUUCCAGAUCAAGCUAUUUUCCCUUCUCCUUGCCAAGUGCAAUAACAAAGUUUGGUUCUGAAAUUCCCCAACGGACUGUUUAGCCUGGCUUUGGGCCCCCACAUAGAGUGUGACAGCAGCCAUGCAGUGAGGGCUUUCACCCCAGGGAAGGUGAUGGUAAGCGUUCAGAAGAUGUGUGCAUGAGGUAAGACAAGUCUUUGCUUCAUAAAGUGUUGUGUGUAUUGUGAGUUGUUUCACUUCUCUUUCUCCCCACAUCAAAUUAUAGUAAGGUCUAAAAGUGAAUAACAAAAAACAGACUUCACAACACAUUUCUAAAUGAUUCCUGGGAGGAAUUCCCACCCAAAUUGAGAAGCUUGGAGUUUUAAGAUGGUUGUUGCUGAGGUCUGACUCUUAAGAGCAAUCUGAGAACCCCUUUCUUUCAUCUGAACUCAGACUAUGCUCUUAGACCUAGAAAAAAAGGGGUUUCAGUGUCCAAAAGCUGAAAGGCUAUGUUGUAGACAUAUAAUGUUUCAUGGACGGCAAAGCACCUGAAGGCUGUGCCUACAUACAGACAAAGCGUGUCCCUAAUUAUAGGUUGAUAGAGGCCAAGAUUUAACUUUCCAAUCCCUCAUUAAAAUAUAAAGGCCUGUGACCUUGCCUACCAGCCAAGGAAUGUGUCUGGUCUUAGGGACAGAAACGACCUAGGAAUGGAGGCUUUUAUGUUCUUGUGGGCAGGAGGUGCAGUAGGAGAAUCAGCUACCAGGGAUGGCCCACAGCACAGUGGAGAUCUCAUGUACAGUGUUGGAAGCAGUGGCAACAGCAUUCAGGCCCUCACUAGAUUAAGUCUGCAGCUUCAUUUGUGCAGUGGUUCUGGCUUAGGAGCCUCUCCUUAUUUUUGUCCUUUGAGCCUGAUUCUCCAAUCUUCCUGGAAAUCUAUGACUCACUCCCUAUCUUUUCAGUAAGGAUUUUUUUUUUUUCUGCCUAAAGAAGCAUUCACUCGGUUGUGGUAUGGAUUGCAUGAUUAUGUCCCCUUCCAACUCAAAAAAAUACCUAUAUGUUGAAACCAUAAUGCUCAAUGGGAUGGUAUUAGAAGGUAGGGCCUUUGGGAGAUGAUUAGAUCAUACAGGUGGAGUCCUUAUAAAUGGGAUUAAUGCCCUUGUAAGGAGAAUUAUAAAGAAAUUGCUUCCUCUUUCUCUGCUCUUAGUCAUAUGAGGAGACAAGGAGAAGAUGUCCAUCUGGAAACCUUCAGGAAGUGGAUCUUCACCAGACACCAGAUCUGCUGGUACUUUGUUCUGGACUUCUCAGUCUCCAGAACUGUGAGAAAUAAGUGUCUGUUGUUUAAGCCAUUCAAUCAAUAGCAUUUUGUCAUAUCAUCCUAAACUGUCUCGUGGUGUUUGUAUUGUUUCAACCUAAAGCCCUGAAUGAUGUGAAUGGUUAACCAUUUAUAAACUACUGAAGUUGACUCAGCACAUUAUCUUGUACAUGGUGGACCACUCAUACCAGAGGUUAGUAGGUUUUUCCAGUUAAACCUUCUAAUCAUGCAGUAAACAUUGUCUGCGCACCAAUAAGUGCCAGGUACUCUUCUCGGUGCUGGGGAUGCAAAAUGACACAAACCUCAGUCUUGCCCAGGAGCUCAUCAUCUCCUAAAAAUAAACAAACAAAAAAGCAAAUCUAUACAUUUGUGUGUUAGUACUAAAACAGAGGUAUGGUCCAGGAUUUAUGUAAACUGAUGACCUUAGUUCUUUGUUGGUUACACACAUUGAAAAUAUAUUCUUACAGUUUAUGGUCUUUUGUUUCACUUUUUAAGGUGUCUUUUAUGUAGAGUUCAUUAUGUUGUAUGUAUUUAUAAUCCAGGAUUAUUAAAAUGCUUGCCUAUAUGUUUUUUGCCUAAAUGUUUUAGGUUUUCUCUAUAUUAAAAAAUUAAUUUAGCAAAUGUUUUCUUGAAUCUAUUGAAGUGAUUUUAUGGUUCUUCUCCUUUAAUGGACUAAUGAAGAUAAUUACUUUAAAAGAUUUUUAAAUAUUAAACUAUACCAGCAUUCCUGGCAUACACCCAAAUGAGUCCUGAAUCUUUCAUAUAUUACUGGAAUCAAUUUGUUAAUAUUUUGUUUAAAAUUUUUACAACUAUGUCCAUAACUUGAAUUGUUGUAUAAUUUUCAUUUAUCAUCUGUCUUGGCUUGGUUUGAUACCAAGAUUAUCUCAGCUUCAUAAAAUAAGUUCAAGUGAAUCAUCUGUUUCCAAGUUCUCUGGAACAGUUUGUGUAAGUGUGGAAUAGUUCUUAUCUUAUUUCCUGAAACUUGACUCUAAAACCUUCCGAGUAAGUUGCCAUUUUUGUGAGUAGAUUCAGCCAUUUCUCUCUUAAGAAUCAUUGUAUCUCUGCUAUAAUUACAUAUUGAAUAUAAAAAGCAUUAAUUGCACCACUUACUAUACACCUCCCCACUGCUCUUAUUCUUCAUUCUAGUUCUUCUCUCAGCAAUUCACCUUCCUUAUGUGUUUUUCAGAAAUAGCCAUUUUCAGGAGAAUGGUGUGAACCUGGGAGGCGGAGCUUGCAGUGAGCCAAGAUCAGGCCACUGCACUCCAGCCCGGGCGACAGAGCAAGACUCCAUCUCAAAAACAAAACAAAAUAAAAACAAAACAAAAACAAACAAACAAAAACAAAACCAGAAAUAGCCAUUUUAUGUACUGUCUGAAGUGAUCUCAUCCAAACUUGUUUUUUUCUAUACAACUAAAGAAACUGAGAGAAUGGAGCAUAUCUGGGUUCAGGAAAUGACCCUUCAAUAUAUUCAGGGCACUGAUGGUUCCCAUCUUACAGAACACAUGCACUAUCCAAUUCCUGAGUGUCCAUUGAGAGAAUAUAAGGUCUUUUCUGCAAAAUCAUUUGCCAAUAUUCAAAGAGCACUUCUUAUACACAGGCUCAGAGCCAGGAUCUGGGAUGAGUAAAGAAGGUACAUGAUCCUCCUCCACCAUUAGCCUUCAAUGUUUCACAGUGUAUUAGUUCAUUCUCACAUUGCUAUAAAGAUAGUACCUGAGACUGGGUAAUUUAUAAAUAAAAGAGAUUUAAUUGACUCACAGUUCUGCAUGGCUGGGGAAGCCUCAGGAAACUUAUAAUCAUGGCAUAGCACAAAGGAGAAGCAAGGAGCUACUUCACAAGGCAGCAGGAGAAAGAGUGAGUGCACAGAGGAAACUGCCAUUUUUAAAACCAUCAGGUCUCACAAGAACUUCUUCACUAUCAUAAGAAUGGCAAGGGGGAAACCACUCCCAUCAUCCAAUCACCUACCACUAGGUUCCUCCAUUGACACAUGGAGAUUACAAUUUGAGAUGAGACUUGAGUGGACACGGAUCCAAACCAUAUCAUUCUGCCCUUGACCCCUCCAAAAUCUCAUUUUUUUUUUCACAUUUGAAAACCAAUCAUGCCUUCCCAACAGUCCCUCAAGAUCUUAACUCAAGCCAGGAUUAACUCAAAAGUCUAAGUCCAAAGUCUCAUCUGAGACAAGGAGAGUCCUUUCCACCUAUGGGCCUGUAAAAUCAAAAGCAAGUUAGUUACUUCCAAGAUACAAUGGGGGUACAGGCAUAGGGUAAAUGUUCCCUUUCCAAGUGGGAGAAAUUGGCCAAAACAAAGGAGCCAGAGGCCCCGUGCAAGUCUGAAACUCAGCCAGGCAGUCAUUAUGUCUUAAAGCUCCCAAAUCUCCUUGGAUUUCAUGUCUCACAUCCAGGGCACACUGAUGCGAGGGGUGGACUCCCAAGACCUUGGGAAGCUCUGCCUCUGUGGCUCUGGAGGGUACAGCCCCUGCAGCUGCCUUCAUGGUCUGGUAUUGAAUGCCUGUGGCUUUUCCAAGCACAUGGUGCAAGCUGUCGGUGGAUCUACCAUCCUGGGGUCUGCAGUAUGGCAGACUUCUCACAGCUCCACUAGGCAGUGCCCCCAUGCAACCUCAAUAUUGGGGCUCCAACCCCACAUUUCCCCUUUGUAAUGCCCUAGCAGAGGUUCUCCAUGAGGGCUCCACCCCUCCAGCAGACAUUUGCCUGAACAUCCGGGCAUUUUUAUACAUCCUCUGAAAUCUAGGCAGAGGUUUCCAAAGCUCAACUCUUGUCUUCUGUGCACCCACAGGCGCAACAUCACAUGGAAGCCACCAAGGCUUGGGGCUUACACCCUCUGAAGCAACGGCCUGAGCUGUAUCUUGGCCCCUUUUAGCCAUGGCUGCAGCUGGAGUGGCUGGGGUGCAGGGCACCAAGCUCCAAAGCUGCACAGAGAGGAAGGGCCCUGGGCCCAACCCACAAAGCCAUUUUUCCGUGCUAAGCCUCUGGGCCUGUGAUAAGAGGGGCUUCUGUUAAGAUCUCUGACAUGCUCUGGAGAGAUUUUCCCCAUUGACUUGGCUAUUAACAUUUGGCUCCUUAUUACUUAUGCAAAUUUCUGCAACCAGCUUGAAUUCCUCCCCAGAAAAUGAGUUUUUUCUUUAUAGUCAGGCUGCAUAUUUCCCAAACCUUUAUACUCUGCUUCGCUUUUAAACAUAAGUUCCAAUUUGAAACCAUCUUUUUUUGAAUGCAUAUAACUGAAAACAUUCAGAACAAUACAGCUCACUUCUUGAAUGCUUCGCUGCUUAGAGAUUUCUUUUGCCAGAUACCCUAAAUUAUCUAUCUCAAGUUCAAAUUUCCACAGAUCUGUAGGGCCGGGGCAAAAUGCUGCCAUUCUCUUUGGUAAAGCAUAACAAGAAUUACCUUUAUUCCAUUUCUCAACAACUUCCUCAUCUCCAUCUGACACCACCUCAGCCUUGACUUCAUUGUCCAUAUCACUAUUAACAGUUUGGUCAAAACCAUUCAACAAGUCUGAAGAAGUUCCAUACUUUCCUAUACCUUCCUGUCUUCUUCUCAGCCCUCCAAACCGUUCGAACGUCUGCCUGUCACUUGGUUCCAAAUUUGCUUCCACAUUUUCAGGUUAUCUUUAUAGCAGUAUCCUACUCCUGUUACCAAUUCUCUGUAUUAAUUCAUUUUCACACUGCUAUAAAGAUACUACCUGAGAAUAGGUAAUUUACAAAUACAAGAGGCUUAACUGACUCACAGUUCUGCAUGGCUGGGGAAGCCUCAGAAAACUUGCAAUCAUGGCAGAAGGCAAAGGAGAAGCAAGAACCUUCUUCACAAGGCAACAGGAGAGAAAGAGAGAGCACAGGGAAAACUGCUAUUUUUUAAACCAUCAGAUCUCAUGAGAGCUUUCAUAUUAUCAUAAGAACAGCAUGGAGGAAACCGCCCCCAUGAUCUAAUCACUUCCCAUAAUGACCCUCCCUGGACACGUAGGAAUUACAUUUCAAGAUGAGAUUUGGGUGGGGAUACAGAGCCAACCCAAACCAUAUCACACAUAUUUUUGGGAAGUGGACAGUUGAUACACCAAUAAUUAAAGCAAUAAGAUAAAUGCAGAGACAGGAACCAGGCAACCCAGAAGAGGCAAUAUCUCAAUGCCUAGGGAUGAGAGAAUGAAAUUGAGGAGUCAAUUUGUCCUCUAGAUAUUGGUUACCAACUUUUUGCCUAGGACUAUUACAUUUUUAGCACUAUACAUUCUUUAACCCAGAAGCUCCUUCAGUUCCUGGCAAACUAGGUCAAUUGGUCACUCUAUCUAGACCUUCAGUGCCUAGCACAAACUUGUCCAACUUGUAGCCCGUGUGCUGCAUGUGGCCCAGGAUGGCUUCGGGUGUGGCCCAACACAAAUUCAUAAACUUUCUUGAAAGUUUAUGUGGUCUUUUUUUGUAAUUUUUUUUAACUCACUAGCUAUCUUUAGUGUUAAUAUAUGUUACGUGUGGCCCAAGACAGUUCUUCUUCUUCCAAUGUGGCCCAUGGAAACCAAAAGAUUGAACGCCCCGGCCUACCACUAUAUAUGGCACAAAGAUGGAAUCCAAAGGGUAUACUUAAUUAGUUGACAUAUGAUCUGAGUAAUCAUGAACAGUAAGUUUUAACCAAGCAUAUGGAAAAGGGAUUGCAAGGCUGUCUGGAGGAACAAUGCAGGCAGAAUUACUAAAGAACAUGGACAUGGUUUGAAAUUGUAAGUCAUCCUAUGUGAUGGAAGGAGCAGUGAGUACAGGAAAAGAGUUGGUGAUAAGACUGCAGAAAUAGACAUGGUUCAGAUGGUAAAAGUCAGGUUGAGGAGUAAGGGCUUUAUUUUAUCCUAUAGUCAAUAAGAGGAUUAAUAGAGAGGCAUUAACAGAGUCAGCUAGCUCUGAGAUAAUAUGAGCAUAGUAGGGAAGAAUCCAAAUUUCUUUACGUGUUUGUAUAUAGAGGCAUCUUUGUAUAUAUUUGCAUUUUGUAUAUUCAGGCAUUGGAAGAAUUGUCUGCCUGUUUCUGUUUCUGUUUUUGUUUUUAAUCAGGACCCCAUGUGUGACAGAAGAAAAAGUCUCAAGUUGGAGUUAAAAUUCUCCUGCAUCCUGAUCAGAUUCUGCUGCAUUCUCCAUGUGACCUCAGGCAAGUAUCUAUAUUUCUCCAGCCUUAGGAAUUCUAAAAGGGAAUUCUUAAAUUUUAAAAGGGAAACAGUGAUAUCUAUUUCUAAGUCUUUUGUAGAAGACUGUGAGAAAAUACCUACAGACAAGCUCUGAAAAAUGUCAGGCAACACAGAAAUCUAGGUUUGGAAUUUGUAGUUGGAAUGACUAAUAGAUUGUAUGGCUAGUGGUGUAAGAGAAAAAUGACUGAAAAAAAGGAACUACAUUCAUUAGCAAUUAAAGCUACUCUUGAAUUGGCUGUGCAACUUCAACAAAGCUGUAUAAUAGUCCUAUAACUUUAGAUAACAACAGUACAGCUUGUCACAAUUAAUGUUAAUUAUAGAUAACUGAUACAUGAUAUGGAUUGGCCUAUGAUCCCAAUACAAAAAAGAGCCACAUUUUACCUGACAUGGAAGUUGAACUAACUUACAAAAGAAUUAACAGUCCAUGGGUCUGAUAUAAUAUAUUUAAUUAAAUGGUGCCUAUCAAAACCUCUGCUACUGAAUUCCAAUAAGGGUCUCCCCUGCUCCCUGUGUUAGCCUUUAUCGCUCUGGCUGUCAGCACUGUGAACAUUCCAUUGUUUCUAUUUGCUUUGAGAUACAAACUUCUGGGUGCGUGGGGGCUGCAAGUGUUAUUUUCAGUUAUGUAUCUCCAAAUACUGCAAUCACCUUACAUCUGGCCUAUUUCCAUGACAUCUGCUCUAAGACCCCAGUGGCACAAUGGUCAUGGCUUGUUUGUUAAGACAUUCUGGGUCACUUUGGUUUAUUUAUCUUUUUAUUAAGGUAAAGUUAGAAAUUAUACCGUGUCUGUCUCAAUGAACAGAAUGUUUGUAUUCCUCACCACCAAAUUCAUAUAUGUUGAAUCCUUAAUCCCAAUGUGAUGAUAUUCAGAGGUGGGGCCUUUGGCUGGUAAUUAGGUCACAAGGGUAGAGCCCUCAUCAGUGGGAUUAGUACUCUCAUAAGGAGAGGCUGAGGAGUUAGAUAGCUCUCUUUCCUUCCUUCCAUGUGGGGCUACAAGAAGGUGGCCAUCUGUGAUCUGGAAGAGGGCCCUCAUGACAAUCUGACCAUGCUGGUAUGCUGACCUUGGAUUUCCAGCCUGUAGAGCUGUGAGAAACAGAUAUCUGUUGUUUAUAAGCCAUUCAGUCUAUGAGACUUUGUUACAGCAGCCCACACUGGUUAAGACAUCCGUAAACAUAGCUCACUAUGAAUAGCAGAACUCAAAAUAAGCACGUGGACCACAGAGGUCAUAUGAGUUGAGGAUCCCUGCAUCUUGUGUGUCUUAGGUUUUGGUCUCAGGUCUGCUGUUAACUGCCGGUAUAACCCCAGGUAAGCCUCUUGAAUAUUCUGAGCCUGAAUCCCAGUUUUUAAUCUGUGAACUGAAGAAAGGUAAUUUUGUUUCACCCAUCUGUUGUUCUAUAAAUAAAUGAAUUAUGGUAAAUGUGCUUUGUAAACAAAAAUGUUAGCAGGGAUAUGAGACUUUAAAAAAGGACGAGAAAAGUUACAAAUUUUAAGUCAGAAGUUUGAUCUUCCACCUACAGGUUGGGAAAUGAUGGAUGAAGCAUCACUAGUAUCUUGGAGUAGUUCAGUUUCGCUCUGGAGACAGAGUGCCAAGGUCAAAUCACAGUACCACAUUUUACCAGCUAUGUGUGUGGCCUGAGGCAGGUUACUGAAUACAUUAUGUUUCAGUUUCCUCACCAGAUAAAUGUGGGUGAUAUUAAUUGGUUAUGAUAUUAACAUAAGAGGGUGAAUAUAUAUCAAUAGAGUCUAUAUUACAUAGUUGAUAUGAGUGUUAGCUGAGUUAAAAAUCUGCAAAGCCCUGUGAUCAGAGCCUGGCACGCUGACAUUUCUGAAUCCAUGGUAGUCAUUAUAUUUGCUUUGGUUACCUUUUCUGAAAUGAAAAAGAUUAGAAUACCUCUGCCUAGAGCAAAAUAUAAUAAAUUUUAAAAUACUUUGUCAACUUCAAAAGACAGUUCAAAUUUCAGUAGUAUGUAUGAAUAAAUACUGAUGAAAUACAUUUUGCUCAGCAGGGUGGAAUUCCUGGAUUUUGGGUCACACACACAUGCACACUUACACACAGAUGGCCAAACCCACUCACACACAUGGUUACAUACUCAGAGACACACAGACACAUGCACACACACACUCUCACACACAUGUACAAAUGCACUAGAGUUCUGAUCUGUCUCAGUACAAAAUCCACUUCCAUUUUUGAACGUGAAACCUGGAGGAAGAAGAACUAGGGUCUUCCAGAACAACCACAAUUUAAUUUGUUUUCAGGGAGUCCCCUAUCCCCCAGAGAUCAUUAAGCUACAAUUCAGAGUUAUUAAUCUCGAACAAGACAAGUCUUUUUCCUUUUUAGGUACUCAGUUAUUUCAAUUGUAAAAUGAAAAACUUGGUACAUAAGAGUCACUCUAUGAAUAUUUGUGGAAUGAAAUAAUUAAAUGAUCAAAAAGUAAAAUUAUGCAAAAUUAUUAUUGCUAUGAUGUGUUUAUUAUGACAAAAUCUUUCAAGGGUGCAUUUUUUAGAAAAAUUCUGUUAUGCAAUGAUUCCCGAAGUCAACCCAGCCACAAUUACCUUUUUUUCUGUAGAUUACUAAAAUAUUCAUAAAACUCAAUAGUCAGGAGCGAAUGUGUGUGAAAAAGUUUGUCCAUGAGACUCCAAGUCCUCUCUCUUGGGAAUCUCAGGCCUCUCAUUCAUACACUCAUUCAACAACUCUUUGCAGAAUACCUCCUUCGUAUCAAACACUGGCUGGUGGACAAUGACAGAAAAAUGAUAUCAACAGGUUCCUGAUUUUAAGGAGCACUCAGUCUAAAGGGAGAGUGGGAAGAUAUACAGUGGGUAUGGCAAAGACUUUCUGCAGUCGCUAACAUUUCAACUGAUGGGAAAAGUAAGCAGGAAUCCAUCAAGGUUUUAGGGUGUUCUGCCAGUGGGGGGCAGAUUGGCAGAGGCUUUGUUAAGAAAUGCUCUAUGUGUGCACCCAAACUGCAGGAGAAUUCCUGCCAUGGACCAUGGGCAGAAACUCAAGGACAUUGAGCCACAAAAUGCAAUAAAACUUAAAGCACUGUCUCUGACAAGAAAAAUAUGUGCUCACACCUAAUUGACCAAAGUAUGUCAUAUGGCCAAGGUCAAUGUCACAGGGUAAGUCACAUGUCAGGCGACCCAAUUGUUUAAUCUUAUUGCAGAAAAGGAGUAAAAAAUUGAGAAUAAAAAUAUAAUCUUCCAUAUUAAUUUUAUUAACAAGCUGAUAAUUUAGUAGGACCAAUGAGCUUUUAAUAGUAAUAGGAGGUGAGAUUAAAGCCUAAAGUAGAGACAACCCCUUGUGCAUAAACACAGUUCACACAGGUAAAAACCUGGGAGUUCUUUAACACUUUAUUUUCUCUUUUCCCCAAAAGUUAGCCAUUUUCUAAUUCAUGUGAAUUCCAUUUAUAACACUUAUAGUACUUAGCAAAGUAUCUGACACAGAGUUGGUAUUCAUUGUAUGUUUGGUAAAUGAAUGCAUGUAUGCUUGAAUAAAUACAUGGCCAUGCUGCCAGCCUUUUCUUGCAAAGUUUGUUUUAGAUUGGAUUCAAGCUUCUACAGCACCUGUGCUUAUCAACUGCGUCACACUAUUACAGUUCACAAUAAUUGUUUGUUCAUCCGCUUCUCAUUACACCAUACUCAUGGGCGAGGUCAGAGAAUGUGUCACCUCUCCCUAACCGAGGGCCUGGCACAGUGUUUGGCAUAUAAUAAGAGCUCAGCAAUGUUAUUUGAUUCCUAAUUAUCACUAGCAGCAUGAAUUUUUGACUACUUAACAUACAACUUAAGUCAAGAGGUGCUGAAUAACCACAGGUCACACAUUGAAUAAGUGUUAACACUAAAAUUUAUGACACAGUUUUUCUCCAAACUAGUCUUUAUACAGUACAUCAUAUUUAUUUCAGAGAUCAGCUAGAAGCUGAGAGAAAGCAUAUUUAAUAAACACAACAAAGACUAUAUAAAGAACUUAUACAAGUUUAAAAGAAAAACACAAACCCCAGGGAAAUAUGGACAGUUUGAAUAAGUUUGUCAUAAAAUAUAAAAAUAUGUAUGGUUUGUAGAAUAUGAGGGUAUAUCCAGCUCCAUUAGUGUUGAGAAAGAUGCAGUUUAAGACCAUGAUGUGCUACUAUAUUUUACAGUCAGUUGGUUAGUGAAAUUUCAAAAGUCUGACAAUAUCAGAUGCUAGAAAGAUACAAAUUUAUAGCAUAUCUUAUCUAUUACUGGUUGAUAUGUAAACUUGGCUGAAUCUCUUAAGAAAAUAGCUGAGUAUUGUAAACUUGUAUAUUCAAAUACUGAGAAAAGUACAUAUUUUACUUCUACAUGUAGAACCAAGGGAACCUUUUAAACAGGUUCACCAGAUAUGUGUCCACUAUCAUGCACAAAAUCUUUGAAACUAACAAAAACCUAUAAACAACCUAAUGCCAAUAGAGAGGAUAUGAGAUGAAUAAACUGUUGUAUAUUUACUAUUAUGGCCCUAAAAAUAAAUGUGGUAUAAUAAUAAUGAACAGUAUAGAUGAAUUACAAAAAUAUAUUCAAAUUUUAAAAAUACUUUGAAAAAUAUUAUGUAUGCUGUAAAUCCUUUUUAAAAAUAAAGUUGAACACAACUAUUAACAAACAAGUGCUUGCUUGAAAUGCCACACACAAAUAGGAAAACAAGGAAAUGAUGCACAGAGAAUUUUGGAUGGUGGUUACUUGAGAUGGGGUUACAUAAGAAAAAUAAAUGCAAGAGGACCCUAUACAGUUAUUGUUAAUGUUCUUCCUUAACUGUGGAUUCAUGGAUGUUUAUGACAUUAUUUCAAAUUAAUUGUAAUCACUUUUUGAAAAUUUGAAAAAGUGUAAUCCAUGGACCAAUGAUACAUUGCAUGGCCAAGGAUUAUAAAUAAUACAAUUGCACUUUAGAUCCAUUAACAAAAGAAGAAGACCUGAUUGAAUCCGAGUACCUAGGCUUAGAGUUAAAACAAAAUAUUGAUCUCGAGGAGAAAUUCUCUACCCCUUGAAAAUUUUCUUCAAGUAGGUCAAGUCCAGGUGUAAGAAGGAGACAGUCAAAUGGAGCACAAGAUAGGCCCAAGGAUUUGGGAUGCUCAAGUUGUGGGUCAGAGGCUGAUGAUACAAACAGGAAUCGGGAAGACACAAAGUAAUAUGGAGCAGGGCUGGACAGCAGUAUAGCUCUAGAAGACUGACAGUCACCAGCACACCCAUGGGAAAGGAGAGGUCAGAGAGGGCCAAUGGACCUGCUGGGUAAACAAUCAGGAUUUGAAGAUUCAAAACAAAUAAAGAAGAUGAUUGUAAAUACUGAACUAGAGUUCACAGAGAAGCUGUGCAGUGCACUGGAAUAAAUACUACAUUCUGGCUUCAACUCUGUUCCUGACUACUCUUAGGCUGUUAUGCAAAUCAUUUUCUCUGUAUAAGCCCCAGUUUCUUCCUAGGAUAACUUCCUCCAUUACAGAGGCUUUUGUGAAGCUCAAGUGAAAAAAUGUAUGUGGACAUGCUUUGGAAAUUACAAAAUGCCUAAUAAAGGUGAGAAGUUGGUAUUAUUUUGCUCACCGAAGACAUUGGAAAUAAAGUGAUCGUGAAAAAAUGUCAAGAUGCCCCUGAUAUUUUUAAGUACUCAUUCACCUGUCUGCCUCCACUAAUGGGUUAUAUGCUCUUAGAUUAUCGAGAUGUCAAUGUGUUCUCUGUAUACUCCUUGUAACUAUCUCAUUAGCUGAUUCCUUGUGGUCUACUAAGUAUUAAAGCAAUCAAUAAAAUAAUUGCAAACAACCUUAGUGCUGGCCUCUAUGUAAUCCAAUUUCCCAAUGACAGUGGUUUUAUAGCUAGAUCCCUUCCCCCCACCCUCCUUAUAGUUGGGACUCCAGCCUUUCUGAGAGAAAAAUCUAAUGAUACAAUUCAGUUUAAAAAUUCUCUUAAGCUCACUAAAGUCUAGAAGAACGAAAGCAUGAUAUUCAACACUGUUCAACAUAUUCUGUCUUCUCCCUACCUUUCCCAUCUUGUCUUCCACAAAGGCACACAGAGCCACCAAAUUCUAGAAAUGCUCCAUGCUCUUUUUAAGUCUUAAAAGCUUCACUGCUAUUCCUUGCACCUGGGAUUUUCUUGCCAUUUCUGACUCUACCUCUACCAAGUAAACUACAGUUUACUCAAACAGUCAAAGUUCACUCUACCUCUACCAAGUAAACUGCAGUUUACUCAAACAGUCAAAGUUCACACAUCUAUUUUCCUCACUAGCCCAAGACACAGUUUCACAAUCUUGUCUCUGCUGGAAACCACCACAUCUCAUGGAAUGAUGGGUGUGUGAGUGUUCUCGUGGCUAAAAUUACUUGUGUUUAUUUCUUAUGACCAGCACCUACUGGCAGUGCUUAGAAAGAGAAAACAUGCUCAAUAUAUGUUUAAUGCAAAGAUAGAAGAAAGAAUAUUACUUUUUCCAGUUGUAGUACAGGAGAUAUUCCUGGGAGGACAUCUGGGAAAGCAUUUCCUAUGGGUCUUUACACAAUGAUCCCCAUGGAGUAGAAGGAAAAAAACAUAUAAUAAUAUUUCAAGCUUCUCAAUUUUGCCCAGCCUUCAAGAGCUUAUUUCCUAUGGAACAUUGACUGUAUGGAGUUAAAUUAGAUUUUAUCAAAUAGUAAUUUGUCACAUAUGUAAUACAUGAAGGUGUGUGAUUGAUGUGGAAUCUUGAAAAAUCAUUCUAAUAUGUCAGAAGGACAAAUGGAUUAAUGAGAGGUAUAAUUUAUGGUCGUAGAUGCGGCUCUGUAUUAAGUUGGCAAAAUCAAAGCCUCACUUAAAGGUAAUCUACCUCACUCCAUUCUUAACUAAAGUGUCAUUGCCAGUAAGACCAGCAUAGUGGAAACAGCUCAAUUGUGUUGAAUUCAAGCUACUUAAUCGGCUUCCUUUGACUGAUUCUUCAGAGCAUUUGUUACUAUACUUGAUAAAUAUGUGACCCUGGAUGUUUUAUCACUUUAAUUUUUAUAUCACUAGAAAUAAAGUGUAUUUUAAUUUUUAAUAUUUAGGGCCAGGCUCACGUGUGUAAUCCCAGCACUUUGGGAGGCCAAGGCAGGUGGAUCACCUAAGGUCAGAAAUUUGAGACCAGCCUGGCUAACAUGGUGAAAUCCUGUCUCUACCAAAAAGUACAAAAAUUAGCUAGGUGUGGUGGUGCAUUCUUAUAGUCCCAGCCACUAGGGAACUUGAUGUGGGAGAAUUGCUUGAACCCAGGAGGAGGAGGCUGCAGUGAGCCUAGAUCGCACUACUGUACUUCAGCCUGGGCGACAGUGUGAGACACUGUCUCAAAUAAUAGUAAUAAAUAAUAAUAAUAAUGUUUAGUUUUAAUAUAACUAGAAAUGAAACUUCCCUUAGAACAUAAAUGUAUCUUUUCGCUGCCUUUUUUUUCCAUUUUAAGUCUAUAAGUUACUGCCAUGAACUAAAUUGUGUCUCUCCUAAAUUCAUAUGUUGAACCUCUAGCUCUCUGUGUGACUUUUUUGAAGAUAAAGUUUUUUUCUUUUUCUUUUUUGAUUUUUGUAGGUACAGUCUUUAAGAAGGUGAGGUAAAAUGAGGUCAUAAAAGUAGGUCCCUAACUGAGUAGAACUGGUGUUCUUAGAAGAAGAGGAAGAGAUACUAGAGCUCUCUCUCUCCCUAGUGUGCACACAGCAAAGGUCAGACAGAGUGGCCUCAUCAGACACCAACUCUGAAGGCACCUUGUUCUUGAACUUCUGACUUCCAGAACCGUGAGAAAAUAAAUUUCUGUUGUUUAACCCACUCAGUCUAUGGUAUUCUCUUAUGACAGAGUAAGUACACCAAUAUAGUUACAUAGAGUGGAAUACACAGAAUUUAAAUUUACAUUGCAAUAUGUUUUAACAUAUGCAUAUACUCAUAUAACCUCUCCCCAGUCAGAAGAGAACAUUUGCAACAUCUCGGAAAGCCUGGACUCUCUGCCACAUCCCAAGGCAGUCUGGCUUCAAACUCCCACCCAGGGGCAACUGCUACUCUGAUUUCUAUCUCCAUAAAUUAAGCUUUGCCUAUAAUAGAAUUUCAAAUAAAUGAAAUCUUACAAUACGUACUGUUUUGGUCAGAAUGUAUUAGCUCAACAUCACGUUUUUAAGAUUCACCCAUGUCAUUUCAUUCAUACAAAUAUUGAUAUUCCUGAAUGGUAUUUCAUUUUAUAAAUAUAUCAUCCUUUAUUUAUUCAUUGUCUUGUUAAUAGAUAUUUGAAUUAUUUUUAGUUUUAUUUUUAUAUUAUGAAUAAAGCUGCUCUGAACAUUCU